GGCGAUUUAGCUCAGUUGGUUAGAGCGUGUGCUUAACACUAGAGAACUGUUCAACAGUCAAGCGUUGCGCACAAGGUCGGCGGUUCGACCCCGUCAAACGUCA